AGUGCGGAGGAGGCGCGGCAGGGGCACGGGCUGUUGUUGCAGGGCGGCAGGGCGGCCCAGACAGGACGCCUUGCCUCCUUUCUCUCCUACAACCGCUUUUUAAAAAUCUGUUUCUGUUUUUAGCAGCCGCUGCGGGCCUCGGCGUCCUCCACCUACGGGGAUGACCUGGCUUCUGUGGCCCCGAGGCAUUUACAGCAGGACGUGAAGCUGAAUGGAGCCGGCCUUGAGGUGGUGGACUCAGACCCUGAGCCUGAAGGGGAGGCGGAGGACAGUCAGAGCGGCUUCUCUUCCUAACGGCUGCCCUGCUGAGAGCAGGACGACACCAUCCGGCUGCAUCCUGUCCCUAUCAGCCUGUGACUCUGCCUGGUGCGUGGGCAGACCUCAGCCCAGGUGACACCUGCCUCUAAAUGAACCCAAGGAACAGAAUGGCAGAGAUCUGCCCGUCCCUAGGAUGAGACUCUUGGGAGCCAGGUGUGGGCUCAGCAGUCACCGGUGUGGUGCAGGGGGUCCAGCUGGAGGUCCCUUGGGAGAUCCCCCACCUUCCCAGCUACAGCUGGAGCUCCAAGCACCCCAACCCCCCAGCCUUGGAGUUGGACAUCAUUUUCCUGGGGCCACGGCGGCUCCCACAGCCUGACAUUCUGUUCCCGGGAGAAGAAACGUUCCCAGAAAGCACUCAUGUGGCCAAAAGCCUCUUUCUGAGCAAACAGGAUGUGGACUAAAUUAGCAAAACAUCCAGCCCGUGGGCAACUUCAAAACGGAACAGGCUGCCUUUCUCUGAAACACAAAGCCCUGGCCUCCCUUUGGGGCACCCAGGACCCCGAAUUGCCCUAAGACUGUCCCAGCUCUCGAACCCUCUGCCUUCGCCCCCGGGGACCUCGGGCUCACAUCACAAGGCCCUGCG
rnacentral:sRNA from 1 species